ACUCCGGUUGAUCCUGCCGGACCCGACCGCUAUCGGGGUAGGGCUAAGCCAUGGGAGUCGAACGCCCCGCCGCUGCGGGGCGUGGCGGACGGCUGAGUAGCACGUGGCUAACCUACCCUCGGGACGGGGAUAACCCCUCGGGAAACUGGGGCUAAUCCCCGAUAGGCGGGGGGUGCCUGGAAGGGUCCUCCGCCGAAAGGGGCCGCGGGGGGUUAUCGCCCGCGGCCCGCCCGAGGAUGGGGCUGCGGCCCAUCACGGUAGUUGGCGGGGUAAUGGCCCGCCAAGCCUACGACGGGUAGGGGCCGUGAGAGCGGGAGCCCCCAGAUGGGCACUGAGACAAGGGCCCAGGCCCUACGGGGCGCACCAGGCGCGAAAACUCCGCAAUGCGGGCAACCGUGACGGGGCUACCCCGAGUGCCCCCCUUGGGGGGGCUUUUCCCCGCUGUAAGUAGGCGGGGGAAUAAGCGGGGGGCAAGACUGGUGUCAGCCGCCGCGGUAAUACCAUCCCCGCGAGCGGUCGGGGUGCUUACUGGGCCUAAAGCGCCCGUAGCCGGCUCGACAAGUCCCCGCCUAAAGCCCCGGGCUCAACCCGGGGAGUGGCGGGGAUACUGUCGGGCUAGGGGGCGGGAGAGGCCGAGGGUACUCCCGGGGUAGGGGCGAAAUCCAUUAAUCCCGGGAGGACCACCAGUGGCGAAGGCGCUCGGCUGGAACGCGCCCGACGGUGAGGGGCGAAAGCCGGGGGAGCGAACCGGAUUAGAUACCCGGGUAGUCCCGGCUGUAAACGAUGCGGGCUAGGUGUUGGGCGGGCGUGCGAGCCCGCCCAGUGCCGCAGGGAAGCCGUUAAGCCCGCCGCCUGGGGAGUACGGCCGCAAGGCUGAAACUUAAAGGAAUUGGCGGGGGAGCACCACAAGGGGUGGAGCCUGCGGCUUAAUUGGAAUCAACGCCGGGAACCUCCACCGGGGGCGACAGCAGGAUGACGGCCAGGCUGAAGGCCUUGCCCGACGCGCUGAGGGGAGGUGCAUGGCCGUCGCCAGCUCGUGCCGUGAGGUGUCCUGUUAAGUCAGGCAACGAGCGAGACCCCCGCCCCUAGUUGCCAUCCCCGGGGCGACCCGGGGGGCACACUAGGGGGACUGCCGCCGCUAAGGCGGAGGAAGGAGGGGGCAACGGCAGGUCAGCAUGCCCCUAAACCCCCGGGCUGCACGCGGGCUACAAUGGCGGGGACAGCGGGUGCCGACCCCGAAAGGGGGAGGCAAUCCCUCAAACCCCGCCUCAGUUGGGAUCGAGGGCUGCAACUCGCCCUCGUGAACGUGGAAUCCCUAGUAACCGCGCGUCAUCAUCGCGCGGUGAAUACGUCCCUGCUCCUUGCACACACUGCCCGUCGCUCCACCCGAGGGGGGAGGGGGUGAGGCCCUCUCCGCCGGGAGGGGGUCGAACCCCCUCCCCCCGAGGGGGGAGAAGUCGUAACAAGGUAGCCGUAGGGGAACCUGCGGCUGGAUCACCU
rnacentral:rRNA from 1 species